AGUGAACGCUGGCGGUAGGCCUAACACAUGCAAGUCGAACGUCAGCACAGUAAGAGCUUGCUCUUACGGGUGGCGAGUGGCGGACGGGUGAGGAAUACAUCGGAAUCUACUUUUUCGUGGGGGAUAACGUAGGGAAACUUACGCUAAUACCGCAUACGACCUACGGGUGAAAGCAGGGGAUCUUCGGACCUUGCGCGAUUGAAUGAGCCGAUGUCGGAUUAGCUAGUUGGCGGGGUAAAGGCCCACCAAGGCGACGAUCCGUAGCUGGUCUGAGAGGAUGAUCAGCCACACUGGAACUGAGACACGGUCCAGACUCCUACGGGAGGCAGCAGUGGGGAAUAUUGGACAAUGGGCGCAAGCCUGAUCCAGCCAUACCGCGUGGGUGAAGAAGGCCUUCGGGUUGGAAAGCCCUUUUGUUGGGAAAGAAAAGCAGCAGGUUAAUACCCCGCUGUUCUGACGGUACCCAAAGAAUAAGCACCGGCUAACUUCGUG
rnacentral:rRNA from 1 species